rnacentral:rRNA from 1 species
CCUACGGGUGACUGCAGUGGGGAAUAUUGGGCAAUGGGCGCAAGCCUGACCCAGCAACGCCGCGUGAAGGAAGAAGGCUUUCGGGUUGUAAACUUCUUUUGUCAGGGAAGAUUAGAAGACUGUACCUGACGAAUAAGCCACGGCUAACUACGUGCCAGCAGACGCGGUAAUACGUAGGUGGCAAGCGUUGUCCGGAUUUACUGGGUGUAAAGGGCGUGUAGCCGGGUUGACAAGUCAGAUGUGAAAUCCUGCGGCUUAACCGCAGAACUGCAUUUGAAAUUGUUGAUCUUGAGUACUGGAGAGGCAGAUGGAAUUCCUAGUGUAGCGGUGAAAUGCGUAGAUAUUAGGAGGAACACCAGUGGCGAAGGCGGUCUGCUGGACAGCAACUGACGGUGAGGCGCGAAAGCGUGGGGAGCAAACAGGAUUAGAUACCCGGGUAGUC